rnacentral:rRNA from 1 species
AGUGAACGCUGGCGGUAGGCCUAACACAUGCAAGUCGAACGGCAGCACAGUAAGAGCUUGCUCUUACGGGUGGCGAGUGGCGGACGGGUGAGGAAUACAUCGGAAUCUACUUUUUCGUGGGGGAUAACGUAGGGAAACUUACGCUAAUACCGCAUACGACCUACGGGUGAAAGCAGGGGAUCUUCGGACCUUGCGCGAUUGAAUGAGCCGAUGUCGGAUUAGCUAGUUGGCGGGGUAAAGGCCCACCAAGGCGACGAUCCGUAGCUGGUCUGAGAGGAUGAUCAGCCACACUGGAACUGAGACACGGUCCAGACUCCUACGGGAGGCAGCAGUGGGGAAUAUUGGACAAUGGGCGCAAGCCUGAUCCAGCCAUACCGCGUGGGUGAAGAGGGCCUUCGGGUUGCAAAGCCCUUUUGUUGGGAAAGAAAAGCAGCAGGUUAAUACCCCGCUGUUCUGACGGUACCCAAAGAAUAAGCACCGGCUAACUUCGUG